GGUUGGACGAAGUACAAACUUUCUUUAACUUAGUUUAUGAAUUUAAUUUUUUAGUUAAAAAGCUAAAAUUUAUUUGGGGGACGAGAAGACCCUAUAGAUCUUUAUAUUUGUGAUUAUCAUAUAUUAUAGUGAAUUAAUUAUUUUGAUAAUUAUAUAUAUUAAAUUGGGGUGAUUGUAGAAUUUACUGAACUUCUAUUUUUCUUUUUCAAAAAUUAUUGUUUAAUUGAUCCAUUUUUAUUGAUUAAAAGAUUAAGUUACCUUAGGGAUAACAGCGUAAUUUUUUCGGAGAGCUCAUAUCGAUGAAGGAGUUUGCGACCUCGAUGUUGGAUUAAAAUAAGUUUUGGGUGUAGAAGCUCAAAAACUAGGUCUGUUCGACCUUUAAUUUUUUACAUGAUCUGAGUU
rnacentral:rRNA from 1 species